rnacentral:lncRNA from 1 species
UGGAUCUGCCUGCCCGAGGAUUUGCUCUGCCGUCUGCUUGGUUUCUGGACCUCAGAGUGAAACUGAGAGAGCCACUCGAUGUGUGCUCUUCAUUGGAAGCGUGGCCACUUGUCUGAACAUCCUGCCGAACUUGCUUAGAGGCAACACCCCAAAAAGACUGCUCUUCCUGUGAACUUGAUCGCGUCAGGAUGGUUUUGGCUCUACUUGAGCUUGGGACUGCCUCAGCAUUAGAAGCCUCUGAUGAAG